AGACUCAAAGCUUUAUUUCAAUAAAAAUGAGGGAAAUUCCUCAUCUUCAAGCUGGUCAAUGUGGCAACCAGAAUGGUGCUAAAGUACACCGGCGAGGGCAUGGAUGAGAUGGAGUUCACCGAGGCAGAGAGCAACAUGAACGACCUGGUGUCUGAGUACCAGCAGUACCAGGAUGCCACUGCCGAGGAGGAGGGAGAGUUUGAAGAGGAGGGAGAAGAAGACAUGGCCUAAGCAGCUAAUAUGGCGGCUUUGCUCCUGGGCAACAUUGUUAGAUUUCAGCGUUUCUUUCUUUAUUCAAAGUGUCAAAUAAACGACUCUUAAGGUCUGAUAAAUGUCACCAGUUUUGCUUAUUGUACAAAUGUUUUAGGAUGUUUUUCAGGCUUUGCAGAAAACAUGUUAAAUAUUACAUUGGAUUUUUUUUCUGGAACAUAAAUGUAAUUCUACCCUGUUGCAUUUUGAAUGUUUUGUACAUUGAAGCUUUCAUUUUUGUUUUUAUGUGGUCGCAAUUUUUUUUUUCAUUGGGACUGUGAUGAGUGUUUUCCUGAAUGUUGUAACUCCUCCAGUCCUACCUCCACAUUGACCACUCACAAUACAUUUCUGUAAAGCUG